rnacentral:lncRNA from 1 species
UCUGUUUUCUUGGACAGGUGCCCUAUUUUUCCGGCGAGGAUUUUCGGCGGCGAGGCCAGUUCACGGCGUUUGGGAGUGAAGAGCUAAACAGCACCGGCAAGGACGUGCAAGAGUCGGUAGCAGUGGACCUUGGGCGCAUCAAAGCCUGCUUUCAGGUUUUUCCACCGGGAGUUGGUACCUCCCGCUCUCUUCUUUACUUUGUACACCUUUUUAUGUAUUUUAGCUAGCAUUCCGUGUGAGGUUUACUCUGUUGCUAUCUAGUUUGCAUCUUUUUGCAUAUUCCGCUAUAGUGCG